CCACAACUUAGUUCAUGAGCUCAUGUAAGUAAAGAGUUUGUAUUCAGAUGUAGAGUUGUAGGACUGUGAUCCCAGCAUUUGAGGAGUGGAGACGGGUAGAUUCAAAGGUGAAUUCAAAGCCAUUCUGGACUACACAGCAAGUUCAAGAUCAGCCUUCCCCAGAUGAAACCUCAUUCCAGGAAAGCAAACAGCGGGACUGCAGCAUAGUGGUGCAGGGCCCUGGGUUUGUUUUGUGGUAAAACACACACGCACAUGAACAUGCAUGCGUGCACACAGACAUGCAUGCACACGAACAUGCACACAUGCACACGUGGGCACACAUGCGUGGGCGCACACACAAACAUACAUGCACGCACACACAGCGCUGUAAAUGAAUGUGUAUGUAUAAGGGUGAACAAUGAAGUGAUGUCUUAUUUGCCUUAACUGAUCUUUGCAGUUAGCUGUUUGCGGGUAUAAUCAUAAACAAUCCUGCCUUAGUAUCGAAUGGAUUCUCUCAGCAAGGGAUCGUAAGCCCAAGAACCAGAGCCGCCUCCAGCCUUCCCUUUUCUCACCCGGCUCAUGCCAGCGCCGAGAGACGGAGCAGAGUGGUAAAUACUUCUUGAAGAAUUGUACCUGCCCCUCUGACCAGGAGUGGAAGUAAUUGUACUGAAGAAAUUGGUCUGGUGCAUUAACAACCAGUUUCAGCCGGCCCGAGUGCUGCUUCACAGCGCUGCUUUUCUCCUGUUUGCUCCUUCUCAAGUCUCAAGUCUCUUUCUAUAGCCUGCGGCUAAGCUGAACGCGACAGUCGGCUCUGCUCCCACUCUGCUCAUUCAGUUCUGCCUACAGCAGUUUUCCUAGGGAGCUUUCCUUCCCUCCGCCCCCACCACCUGCGCCUGCGCUGAGCCGAUCCGGAAGACAAACCCCCAGCUUUGUCGUUAUCCUGCAAGACUAACUGGUAAGGUCGAAUGGCUCUGGAUAUAAUGGGAAUGGCCUGCAUUUUAGUGUGAGUUGGCAUACAGCUGCUCAAAAGAUGGCUGCCUAAAAGUAUUCUCUACAUUUAAACUACUACUACUUGGUUACAGCUUACCAGAGCAGGCUGAAGUGUGGUAGUUGAGAAGAUGAGGAUUCAGCAUGGCCUGUGGAGCAGUUCUCUGGAGUUUGCCCAUUCUUAAUAACAAUAGCGACACUGGCUAAAAUGCAUAGCCAGGUAUAUCUUUUUGUGUAUGUAAGAGUUUUGCCUGCAUGUAUCCUGUGUGCUGUGCAUGCCUUGCUCCCACAGUGGUUAGAAGGCCACAUUGGACACCCCAGAACUGGAGUUAAACAUGGUUAUGAUCCACCACAUGGUUUCCUCUGCAAAAGUGGCAAGGACCCCUAACUUCUGAGUUAUCUCCUCAGCCCCAGAUCUUUCUGGGUUGUUUGUUUGUUUGUUUGUUUUGAUUCUUUGUCCUUGCAGUUGUUUGAGACAGGGUCUCACUGUGUAGCUCUGACUAGCUUGGAUCUCUCUGUGUAGAUCAGGCUGGCCUUGAACUCACAGAGAUCUGCCUGCCUGUUUCUCGGGAUCAAAGGUGUGUGACACCAUAGUCAGCCAGCUGCGGUUUUAUGUAUUUUGUUUAUAGUAAAGUGUUUUAAGCCUCGAUGCAGCCGCUUAGGGUAAGUGUGCUGGUUGCCAUUUUACCAAUGAGGAAACUGAAAGAUUCUCUACCCUGUAAAGGAGACAGGAAAUGGCCGAAUCCUAGCGUUUCAAUAUUUUAACUUAUAGUUUGUGUAUGUGUGUGAGUAGCGCUCACUCGUGCUGUGGUAUGUGUGGAGGUAAGAGAACAAUUUGGGAGGUCGGAUUCUCUUCUACUGCAGGUGACAGGGAUGAGCCACCCCACAACCCCUGAAUCUUACUUCAGUGCAGCCGGUUGUGUGCUCUGUGUGUGUGUGUGUGUGUGUGUGUGUGUGUGUGUGUGUGUGUGUGUGCACCCGGGGUCUGGGUUCUUUAGCAUUGUGACUCUUGGCCCUUGGAGUGGCGUCAGUACUAUUCUGCCUUUGUGCCUUUGCUGAUUUACCCACAGAUAUAUUUGAAGAGAUACUUGAGGAGUCUCUAGAAUAUACUCCAGUGAUUAAGGCAGAGCCCCGCCUUUCUGGUGUUCUGCUGCAGAGGAGGAAACCGAGGCUGGAGAGAAGAAAAUGCUUGCCCACCGAGGAUUGGCCAGCCUAUAAACGUGGCUCUGCGCCCUCAGUUCUGAUUCCAAAGCCAAUGUCCUGAAUCUCCAACUCUGUGUCCGUGAAGACAGGUCAAAGGGAGGUGUGGGGAUGCUGGAGGUGGGAACUCGGAGUGGCACUGCCUUAGAGGCACGCCUAGCAGUUACUGCGGCCAUCUCUCACCUCCUCAUUCCUGUUGCUCUCUCUCCACCUUUCCCAAGCCUGCCCCAGCACAGGGUAGAAUUUAGCUUUGAUGAGGGCAUUCGGAACCCGCAGGAUCUCUGAGGGGAAUGUCUACCGCAGCAACCACUGACUCUGGGGAUCGCUGAACACAUCUCUGACUGACUGAGCACUUGUUCACAGCACCCCUAACUGCUUGGUUAUUCUUUCUACAUUCUCCUAUCCACUCCCAUCCAUCCAUCCAUCCACCUAUCUAUCUACCAAAUUCAGGGCUUCCCUUUCUUCACAAGGGGAAACUUCCAUCUUGCCUUCUCUUAUGCACUGCUACCUUCCGUGGGCUGGGCUGGGGGCGUUGGCCUUGCACACCCCUCUGGUGUGGGGGGUGCUGGUCUUGCACACCUCUCCUUUUUCUAAGUUCAGUGGCCUGGCUCCUCUAGGAUUGAGCCCUCAGCUUUCCUCAAACUCACAGCCCUAUGGUUGCCAUAGAAACCCCCAAGCUUCUGGUGGUGUGGCAGGAAACUCAACCAGGUCUAAGUUCAGCGGCAGUCAGUCCUGCUGUCAUUGUCAGGAUCAAGCCAGAUGGCAGCUUAUGCUUCUGAGCGGGAGCCUUUGUGGAAGACAGGAAGGACGGGGCUGAGUGCCUGUCCCGCUUGGCUGUCAGCAGGGGAUUCCCCAACAAGUGCUGGGAUUGGAACCUGAAACAGCAGAUGUGGACAAGAGACCCCCACAGUACAGAAGGCUGGCUGAAGAUUCCUUCUCCUCUGUCUUUUUCCUUCUCCCUCUCUGCUUUCCCUUUCCCCUCUCCUCUUCCCCCUCCUCCCCCCGCCCCUGCCAUCCUGCCUUCUGGGGUCCUAGGCCUAGGACUUCACAGAUGUCUGAAGAGAUUGGUAGCUUUGCCUUCAGUGAAGUGUCUCCUACCACACAGACGUAAGCUUAUCUUUGGGGGAACUAAACCAAAGCUCCUGACCCCAUUGACAAGGGCAAGGGCAGCUCAGCUCAGCAGAAGGGUAAUGAGCAUGCCUGGCACACCAGCCUUGAGCCACACAGCAGGGUUUUUUGAAACACCUUCAUAUGUGGCAUCUGGAAUCCCGGGUUCGAUUCCUGCACCCUGCCAUUAGCUGUGUAGCCUUAAAUGAGUCUCUUGAUUUCCAGUCAUCUGCUUCAUUCUCUGUAAAAUGAGAACACUAAAUCAUUUUCCACUUAAAAAAGAAGUUUGUGUGUGUGUGUGUUUGUGUGCUCUGUGUGUGUGUCUGUGCAUGUUCGUGUGUGUAUGUGUGUUUGUGUGCUCUGUAUGUGUGUGUGUGUGCUCUGUGUCUGUGGGUGCUGUGUGUGUGUGUGCUGUGUGUGCUGUGUGUGUGUGUUGUGUGAGUGUGUAUAUGUAUGAGUAUGUGCAUGCUGUGUGUGCUGUGCGUGUCUGUGUGUGUAUGUGUGUUUGUGUGCUCUGUGUGUGUAUGUGCUGUGUGUGUUUGUGUGCUUUGUGUGUAUGUGUGUGUAUGUUUGUGUGCUCUGUGUGAGUACAUGUGCGUGUCUGUUUGUCUGUGUGUGUGUGUGUGUCAGGGGCAGGGGUGGGAGAUGCACAUGGAGGCUAGACGAGAGUGUCGGUUCUCCAGGAUCUGGAGUCACAGGCAGUUGUGGGCUGCUUACGCUGAGAACUUAACUCUGGUCCUCUGGAGGUGCUCUUAACCAGUCCCAAGGCUCAACUUCUGACUGAGUCUGGUUAAUUUGAAUUUUCCCCGGAAAGAAACUUUGCCUGGGAAAUAAGCUGAAGAUGUAGCUAAUUUGGUAGAGUGUUUGCCUGGCGGGCAUGAAGACCUGAGCUCAGACUGCAUAAAUCGAGUAUGAUGGUGCACACCUGUAACCCUAGCAUCCGGGAGGUAGAAACAGAUAGAUCAGGAGUUCGAGGCCAUUCUCUGCUACAUAGGAAGCUUGAGUUCAGACUGAGAUACAUUAAAAUAAAAUAAAAUCAAAACAAAUAAGCGGAGGGCACAGGCUUACUGGAGAAGAGGACCUUCUUCUGGAACUGUAGUUUUCCCUCCACACUGUUCCGUAAAGCUUCCCAGGAAAGACUCUGAGCAGCCAGUCCCUAACCCUUACAGCAGAGGUUCUCAGCCUUCCUAACUCUGCGACCCUUUAGUGCAGUUCCUCGUGGUGUGGUGACCCUCAACCAUAAAAUUAUUCUGUUGCUACUCCAUGACUGUAAUUUUGCCACUGUUAUGAAUUGUGAUGUAAAUGUCUGCUAUGCCCCUGUGACCCACAAAGGGAUCUCGACCUAUAGCUUGAAAACCGCUGCCUUACAGUAGGCGAGCAUUUGACAUUGGAAAGUGUGUAUUUGGCGCUUCCCUAGUCUUGGAGAGGUAAGGAGCAAUUGUUACUUUUCUCAGGAUUGCAACAAGAUAUCCAACAAAAGCAAUUUUAAAAAAGAAACAUUUGUUUUGGCUCAGGCCAGGGGAGGAAGUAUAGAGAGGAGCUCGAAGCAGCUGGUCACAUUGCCGCUGCAAGCGGGAGGCAGAGAGAUGGGUGCUUAAGUACAGUUUGAACUCAGUCCAGCCCCACUGUACAUUGAAUGGCGCCACUUACACUUAGGGUAGAUUUUCCUGCUUAAACUGAUCCAACCUAGAGAUGCCCUCAUCCGUGCCUUGAAGCUUGUGGUUUAGGUGAUACUAGAUCUUGUUCAGGAUCCAAAUGAACCAGCACAGGGUUUACACCAAAAUCUUUGAAGGCUCCUACAUAAGACAGCAUAGUAUUUGGUUGUAAUGUAAGCACAUCCAGCUGUGUUCCUUAAAUCAUAUCUGCAGGUUAUUGUAAUCACCAAUACAACGUAGAUACUAUGCAAGUUGAUGCUCUGCCAAAUUAUUCAGGGAAUGCUGGUGGACGUCUGUACGUGUUAAGCACAGCCUGUUAUUUUUCUGAAUGUAUUUGAGCCACAGAUUGUUGAAUCCAUACAAAGUGAAUGUUGGAUAUAAAAUGUAUGGACGGGAAGGUAUUUUAGUAGGGUGAACCUCCAAGUAUAUGGAGAUCUUUAUUUGUGGAGUAAAUUUGUUCUAGUCAAAUGGUUUAAAAAUUAAAUUGGGACCAGGGAAAUAGCUUAGUGGGUAAAGAGGCUUGCAACUGUGUCUGACCACCCGAGUUUGAUCCUGAGAACCCAGACAGGGGAAGGAGAGAACUGACUCUCACAAGCUGUCCUCUGAUCUCACUCAAGCUGUGACACACACACUAAACAGACAAACAAACAAUAAAAAUCGAAUUGACCCCCUGCAAUCUCACUUUAUUUGAGAUGCAAAUUUUCUGUGUUGGGACUGGUGAGAUGGCUCAGCAGUUUAAAAAAAUGCUUACUGCUCUUCCAAAGGACCAGAGUUCACUUUGUUGGGUGGCUUACAACUACUUGUAACUCCAUGUCCAAAGAAUCUAAUACCCCUUUCCAACCUCCAAAGGCAUCCAUUUCAUAUAUAUGAAUGUAUGGAGAACAUAUAUUCAUAAACACACAGACUCACACACAUCCCUGCAAAUACAAUUAAUUAGAAUCAAUCUUUGGAAAAUGAACUAAGUUGUGGAAAUAUUAAUGACCAUGGCCAUGUUUGUUCAUUUCUUUUUUGGGGUGUGUGUAGGGGGGUGUUGAGACAGGGUUUCUCUGUGUAGCCCUGGCUGACUUGGAACUAACUCACUAUGUAGACCAGGCUGGCCUCAAACUCAGAGAUCUACAUGACUCUGCCUCCUGAGUGCUGGGAUUAAAGGCCCACACCACCACCUCUGGGCUUCGUCUAUUUCUGAACAAAACACAAGAGGUGAGAAACUAGGAUCACCCAGGCUGGGAAACCCUCAGAACUGGUUAGACCUUAGGGAAGGCUGAAGAAAAUGGAGAGGCCUCAAAAAGUCAAGAUUGGUGAAUCGAGGGAGUCCAAUCUCUGGAGAAAUCAUGGAGCUGGGCAGAAAAAAAAAAAAAAAAAAAAAAAAAAACGAGAGAGUGAGUGGAUGAGGAUGCUUGCUCUUUGCCCUUUGGCUAGCUGUUGAGGGCGAGGUACUCUGGAUGCUGAUGUAUAGAUCAUCCCCAUUGUAGUGACUCCUGUGCCUGCUAAAGGCUCUAAGCUGCUCCCUUUGCUAGAAAAAGAACUCUCCAGUGGGGUGUGACACUCGUGCUUCCUCUCUCACCACAAGGACUCUGUCAGCUCAUGCCGUGGCCAGUGACUGAUGGUCGGAACAGCAGAAAACAAAACCUCAUUUGUUCUAUGACUUCAACUGGGACAAAUCUAGUUUGAUUUGAGCUUGAGAGCCCUUCCUAGGAUUCGAUGAGGCUGGACCCUUGCCCAGUCCUGUGUCCCUUACCUCCACCUGCUCUGUCUGGGCGCGUCUCCUAAUAAAUCACUGUAGACCCAGGGCAUUGCUGGAUCAAUCAGAUAGCCUUCUCCCCUGAUAAGCACACAGCACUCACAGUGUCCAGCACAGUGUCGCUGACUGAAGACACACUGUGCCCUGGAAUGGGGGUGCUCCUGUGUUCUGUGGAGGCGAGACCUGAAGUGUCUAAGGACUGGCUAGAGUGGUCUUUCUCAACCUGUUGGUCUUGACCGCCCCCCUUUGGGGGCUGCAUAGAAAAUAUACUGCAUAUCAGGUAUUUAUAUUAAACUCAUAACAGUGCAAAACUACAGACAGGAAGUAGCAAUGAAAUAACUUUAUGGUUGGGGAGUUAUUGCACCAUGAGAAACUGUAUUAAAGGGUUGUGGCGUAGGGAAGGGUGAGUACCACUGGGCAAAAAGUGAGGCAAGGGGUUUGCAAGGCAGAGAGGAAAGAAAAAAAAUCAAAUCUAGAUGGAUAAUGCUAAGGUACAGCCCCCCCCCAAUUGCAUAAUGAAGCUAAGGGCAGCAAUGACAAGAAGAGAGAGGCAAUGUGGUGAAGGUUAUGGAAGGCCCAGUGACCUAUUCACAAGCCUGCACUGGAUCACCACGCAAAGGAAAAAAUGAUGAAGAGUUUUAAGUGGAAAUUGCACAAUAAGAGUUUAAUUAAAAGAAAAAAAAAACCCUGAGUGUCCUAGGCAGAAAGGAGUCACGGGCAACGGCAGACAGAAGGACCUAGCAUUGGCUAACGUCUCCACUGUGGUGGAACGUUCAGAGCUACCAUAGUGGUAUUAGGGAGAAAUGGGCAAAAUGUCAGCUCCAAGGCUUACAGCCCGGAUAAGUUCUCUCUAACCUCCAGCUUCAUGACUAGAGUAGGUGUGAGCACCAAGGGAGCUAAGGAGUGAGGAGAGUCUUGCUACAUUUUGCAACGACUGGCAUGCUGGGAGUGCCAGCAGAAUGAUGUUAUCCGUGUGAUUCGAAUUGGAGCAACAGUUGUGGAAAUGGAAAAGCAGCUGCAUGAAGACUCUUCAGAAGGGGAACCAAAGGGAUGCGAUGACUGAAGUGGGAAUAAAAAAAGAAGCAGCAAUGGAUAUUUCUGUUUUGGCAGUGGGUAAACCGAGGCUUUGCAAGGAGGAAGUGGCGAUUACUGAGUAGAAGCCACCUUCGGUUCCCAACCUGUUGACUCUGAAGAACCAGGGAGGACAGGGUAGAACUGUCAGGCAAGUUCUGUGCAUGUGAGCCUGAAGUUCUGAGUCUGACCUCUGAGUAAGCAGAGCCAUAAGAAUGGCGGAGAGAACCCUGGCUGGGUGUACUGAGCUCGGAAGGGACCAGGAGCUGUGCUGGACCCAGGGAACAAAGCUGACAAUGGGAUGUGACUCUGUCUCAGGGAAUUCAGCCUUGUUAGAGGAAGCAGAUAAUUAGUUUUUUAGAGUACAGUAGCUAUGUUUGCACGGAAGUUAUUCUGUGAGUCACAGAAGUUGGGAGAACCUAGGAUACGACAAGGACUCUGAAUGUCAGAAAGAAAUAGAGAUAACCUGCAGGCCAGAAAAGGACAGGGAUGAAAGGAUGAACCAGCUGGGAAAGGGGAAAGGAAGUCUUGCUUGCUUUUUGGGGUUUGAUUUUACGAGCCAGGAUAUCUCACUGUAUAGCCCAGGUUUACCUUGAACAUGAAAUCCUCCUGCCUCAGUGCUAGUGGAAAGUUCUUCUCCCCUCCCCCCUGACCCCCACUUUUUCUCUCAGACUCUUAACCCAGAGACAAAAUAGUUGACUGUAUCAUUAGAACUCUAGGAGGAGGCCGAACGGCUUCUGUUUCUCAGGUUGUGUGGCUCAGAACCCUUAAAGUUCCAUGGGGUCCUUAUAAUUGGAGGCCACCUUGGUGGGGGAUUGAAAACCGAGCACAUGCCACCUCACUAAAUCAGAGUGGCUGCCUUCCUUUGCAAAUUGGGACUGUGUGCAAGCUUCUGAGAGAGAGAGAGAGAGAGAGAGAGAGAGAGAGAGAGAGAGAGAGGGGGGGGGGGGAUGAGAGAGAGAGAGAAUUGACUUAAAGACAAUGGGAAGCUAAGGAUUCAGGGGCUGAGGACGCCAAGUGACUUGGUUAAGAUGGCACUGCUAAUUAGCAAUCAAGCUGGGUCCACACCGAGGGUCCUUAGCCUCCAGGCAAUACUCUCUCUCUCGCUGUAGCUGAGGACCUGUACUUUUCAUUUGUUUGGUCAAUGUUUCUCUCUUCAGGUUUUCCUGAACUGUAAUAAAAGAGAGAUACAUACUCACCAGUGGAAACAAGGACCUAUCACAGAACAGAGAUUCAAUUAAUUACCCAAUGACAUCCUUUCCUCCUUUUGAUUUCUUAACAAGCAGCAGCAGAGAGUUGACCCAGAGAGAAGCCCUUUGUGUGGAGGGGCCCAUUUCAUUACACUUGACCCAAGUCUGAACAGACACUACCACCUAAUGCCCAAAUACUCCAUUAAAAGGGAAUUGAGAAAAAAAAAAGUAGAAUCUCUCCACUCACACAAAGCUGAACGUACACACGGCAGAGGUUUGAUUGAACGCAAUCAAUGAGGGAACAAGGCAGAUGCAGUAACUGAUCCGGGAGGAUCCGAAGAACAGACGGUGACAGUCAGAAGUACUAAGUGAGUGAACACAACAGGGACGAACGGUCGCUGGCACCUCUACUGCAAGGGGCAGGAUUCACACGUCUGCAGACGAGAAUUAUUGUGCAAAGUUAUCAACUAUCUACCAUUUACAGAGCUGUAAAAUAGCUCCCGUGGAAGCUAAAUCAGGUUGCGUGGAAGAAAGCAUGCUCCAGACAGAGUACAGUUUCCCAAAGACACACGUAUUUCUAUCUGUAUAUUCUAGAAAGGCAGAGCCAGGUUUUACAAGUAAAGCAGGAAGUGCCCAGGCCCCUUUUCGGUUGCAUAUACAAAGAUAUACAAAGUAUAUGUGUGCUUAUGUUUGCAAACACUAUUCCAGUGGAAGCUUUAUAAAACAGGACUCACUCUGUUACAGGGGAUACAUAUGGAUAUUUUCUCAUUUAUUCUUGUUAUUGCUCUGUUUUUUGCUUUGUUUUGUUUUGCUUUUGAGACAGGGUUUCUCUGUGUAGCACUGGCCGUUUUGGAACUCACUCUGUAGACCAGGCUGGUCUUGAACUCAGAAAUCUGUCUGCCUCUAUUUCCCUAGUUGCUGGGAUCAAGAGUGUGCACUACCGUGCCCGGCUUUUACUGAUCAAAUUCUGUAUCUUCUAAAAUUAAUUUAAUAACUUAUCGUAAGUUAAAAAUAUUUACCAUGUGUGGAAGGCGUUUUCAUGAAAGUGCCACACAGCUAGUAUGUCAAGAUCAGAAGACAUUUGGGAAUUGGUUCCCUCCGUCUACCGUGCGUCCUAUAGGUUGAAUUCAGGUCAGCUUGCUCAACAAGCAGUUUCACCCACUGAGCCAUCUUGCCUGACCUAAUUUUGCUACUCACUGAUGGAUUGCCACCCACUAAUGAUCAAGGACUCUUCUUUGAAAGCCAGGGACUAGAUCAAUGUUUCUCAAUCUAUCAACUGCAAAGCACCAGCUUUGAAAUAUUUUAUUAUUUCUGAUUUUUCAUAUACUGAUUGAUAUUCUAGAAAACAUAAAAAUAAAUUACUACAAAGAGUGAAGGAGGGGCUGGGGAUUUAGCUCAGUGGUAGAGCGCUUACCUAGGAAGCGCAAGGUCCUGGGUUCGGUCCCCAGCUCCAAAAAAAAGAACCAAAAAAAAAAAAAAAAAAGAGUGAAGGGAAAAAGUUCCCAAAGACUUACAAAAUGUAAGUUCAAUAUUUUUUUUCUUAUUAAAUCGACUAGACAUAAAAUUGGAUGUAGGGGCAAUGCCACAUUUCCUUUUUAAAAAAUAUUUAUUUUAUUUUCAAUUAUAUGUGUGUGUGUGUUAUGUGUAUGUGUGUGGUGUGUUCAUGUGUGUUCAUGUGUGUGUGUGUGUGGUGUGUUCAUGUGUGUUCAUGUGUGUGUGUGUGGUGUGUUCAUGUGUGUGUGGUGUACUCGUGUGUGUGUGUGUGUGUGUGUGUGUGGUGUGUUCAUGUGUGUGUGUGUAUGUGUGUGUGUGCAUGUGCAUGUAUAUAUGAGUGCAGGUGACCAAGGUCAGAGGCAUCAGAUCCCCUGGAAUUACAGAUGUUUGUGAGCUGCCUGACCUGGAAGCUAGGAAAGGAACUCUAGCUUUCUGCAAGAGCAGCAUGCAACUUUAAUAGCUGAGCCACUUCUUUAGCCCCAGCUCCAUAUUUUAUUUCUACUUGAAUGUUUCCAAAUGCCUAUUCUCACGGAUUCCAUUUAGUUCCCCUGCACUGAAGCAGUAGUAGAUCCCUAAUCGUUGGACCACACUUUCACGUAUCUCUGGCUAGAUGGCCCUCAGGGCCACCCAUGCUGACAGUACAUCGAUGUUUUGCUUCCCAGGCAUGACACUUGCUCAGGCUACCUCAGUCACUGGGGCCUUAUUGCCGCACAACUGGGGUUUCUGGUGACAGAUCAUGGGAGAUGAUCUCUGGUAGUGGUGGCAGGAAAUAAACUGUCAUUGGUGACAGAAUAUGUCUGACCCUAGAAAUGGUCUUUCAGCCCCAUGUUGUUUGCUAAAAGCAUGAGAGGACUGUUCUCUUACACUGCUCCUCUUUCGAAGGUGUGUGUGUGUGUGCAUGUAUUAUGUGAGUAUGUGUGUGUGUGUGCGUGUAUGCAUGCACACAUGUGCAUGCAUUAUGUGGUGUGUGUGUACAUGCGGGGUAUGUAGUGUGAAUGUGUGUAUGUGUACAUGUGUUGUGUGUGCAUGUGGUGUGUGUGUAUGUCUGUGUGUAUGUGUGGUCUGUGUGUAUCUGUUGUGUGUUUGUGUGUAGGUCAGCGGUUGAUAUUAGGUGUCCUUCUUGAUCUGCCAUUGAACCUAGAGCUCUUCCAAUUGGCUAGACAGGCCAGUCCGCAAACCCCAGAAAUCCUCCUGUUCCUCUCCCGAAUGUUAAGAUCACAGGUGCCAGCAGCCAUGCCUGGCCCUUUCUGUGUGUGCAUUUGGGCACGAGGAGACCAAAGUCAGUGUUUGCAUGCCAAGCACUUUGCUGACUGGACCAUCUCUCCAGCCUCUCAAGAUGGCCUCCUAUGUUAAUCUUCAUGUGCCCAGUGAUAUUGCUUUGUUUGCCUCCUCUCUUGUAGUUUGUGACAGAACACCAUUGCCUGCCUUAACAACCACUUCUGUGGUACAGGAUGUGGUGGACAAGGGUUAUUGGCCACCAUCCAGAUGGGCUGCUUGCAGGCCGGGGGUUGACUGUGUAUCCAGCCAGAGAGUGGAGGACAGGCUCUUGAGGCAGAGCAAGGGCCUCCUUCCUGCAAGGAACAACUGUGGGCUUCUGCCCUCAGCACAUCAGACAAUGGGGGGAAGCGGCCAGUGUGACUCUGCCUUUGAAGAAAGCUUUUAGGAAAGUGUGGGUCCUGUCCAGAAUACAGCUUACAAGUCUCUAUGAGCAAACUUUGACUGAUCCUUGGAAAUCACUUUCUGGUAGGCUAAAGCUCUGAGGCUAUCUGCCAUAGCACAAGCAAAAUGGAACGAUGGGGACAGCCCCCAGGUCCAUCUAUCUUGGAGUAAAGCUAAAGAGAAACAUUGGAAACCCGUCCAGAACCACUGGGCCACCAUCACCUUUCUCUCAAGCCAAGAGACCCUGGAUCUUUGUAAAGUUCACCUCUGAAGAUAUUCGCAAGCCUUCAAACUCUGUUAAACAGGGUGGGUUUUUUUUCACGUGUGUAGGUAGUUCUACAUGUGUGUGUUUGCAUGUGUGGUGAUGUGUAUGCAUCAUGUGGAGGCCUGAGGUUGACGUUGGGAAUAAACGCUCUAUCUAUCGCUCUCCCAUCUUGUUCAUUGAGGCAGGAUCUCAGUGAAACUCUGGGCUCAAGGACAGGACUAGUCUUUCUGGCAGCUUGAUUUGGUGACCCUUUGCUUUCACCUCUGGGGAUAGAAUCACAGGCAGCCGCUAUAAACAACUGACCUUUCUAUAGCUUCUGGGGAAUCUGAACUCUGGUCCUGAUGCUUGCAUGGUAACCACUUAACAAUGGAGCCAUCCCCAUAGGCCAAGAGUUUUUAAAGCCUGGCAUGGUAGCUGGGGUCUGUAAUCUAAGCAUGUGGGAGUAGGAAGAUCAUUACCAGAUCAAAACCAAUCUGGGCUACAUAGUACGUUCUGGGGGAUCCCGAGUUAUAAUAAGUGUCCUCAUUAUCUACCCAGCAACGGAAUAAAGCAGGACUUCAAAGGACCGACUACGAAUCCAAUGAAAGAAUGCUAAGAGUGUAUUGAGAAUCAACAACAGGCAAUUAAUUUUCUCCUAAAACUGAAAGAGAAUCAUUGCCCACCAUAAGUCAACUUCAAGUCUGUGGAAAAGAACCGUGUCCUAACCUUUGAGGGGUGAUAGUCGCAACGAAGGUGAAAUUGUAGACUGCUGGACUUUGUUGUUCCAGCCUCCACUUCAUCUCCUUUCAUUUAUUUCAUUUCGUACCAAGAUGAACAGCUGAAUUACUUGACGCUUAGACUUCCUAGGCCCGUCCACGUUUCCCACAUAUGAGACAUAAUGUAUAUAAAGUGCUUCAUACAAGGCCUGCUGCAUGGUGAGCACUCAGCAAGUGUUAGCUCUGACAUUCAUAUACAUUAAAGCUAUGCUAUCUGGAUUGCGGGAGUCAGCUUCCGUGCUUAGCGCUGUAUUGAUGCCUGCGUGGGUGGCAGUGAUCUUCAUUAUCCGACGUGCGUCUGCUUCUCUCUUUCCUAGUCAGCUCACUGAGGUGAGAUGCUCUGCACCAUCUCCAGGCUCACCCUGGAAGGUAUUAUAGCCUCAGCUAGCACCCUUACAGACACUAGCAGCAAGGGUGCUUUCCAUACACUGGGCGCCAGGCAAAUGCUGCCGCCUGACGGCUUGAUCGAGCGUCCCAUUUGAAUCGUUCACUGCAGCAAACCCUGAAGUUCCUUUUCUACCUCUCUUGUCAUCCAGAACUGUCUUCCUAGAUCUCCUGCCUCAUUUCACCCUGUCUUCCUUUUUCUAGAUCUUUCUGUUUCAUGUUCCUCCCCAGACUUUCAUUUAAAAAAAAAUUCAGGACACAGACAUUAGUUUGUUCUAGAAAAUAUUUCCCCCUUGCUUCUAUAUCUUAAUUUCGCUAAACCUAUUUCCUCUGCUGCCUAGCAGUAUAAAUGAGACCAUAGUUCACCGUGUGACUUAUAAGAUGAAACACUCCAUUCAGAGUAACGGAACACAUACUUGAAGGCAGGCACCGACUCUGAAGAGAAGCCUUCUCGAUGCCUCUCAUCUGUGAGGUUGCGUUGGGGUGGAUGUUGUUAGAGGCAAUCAGCACGUGCAGCAGGCUGGGCGGGAUGGAACCUCUGCCAUCUGGAGGAGGAAGAUUCAGACGUGGAGAAGAAUCUCUGGGGUUAUGGAGUUCACAGUCCUGUGCCUUCAUUUUGCCUUAGUCUCUGAAGUGAGUGUUUUAAGUGACAGGCAUCAGCCAGAAAGUGCAGAAGAGAAAGAACUGAUGCCAUGGGCGCUCUCCGAGGGAAGCAGGAAAGCUUAGAGCUCCGAAUGCCGUGACCUGUAAGUCCAAGAUGGGAGCAACAGGGAAAGACUUCCUGCACCCAAGAACCAGAGGAAUAAGAGUGAACUGGGAAGACAGACAGACAGACAGACAGGACCAGAAGGUGGUUGUUUCUAGGUGGCUGCCAGGAAACAGUGUUCCCAUGGAGCAAACAAUCAACACUUUCUCUGGAAUUUGAAUUUACUAACUAUACAUGGACUGAACACCUAAUGAAGGAAGGAAGGGAGGAAAGAGGAAGAUGAAAGGGAAGAAGGAAGAGAAAGAGGAAGGAAGAAGGAAGGGAGGAAGGAGGAAGGGAGGAAGGAAAGAAAGAGGAAGAUGAAAGGGAAGAAGGAAGAGAAAGAGGAAGGAAGAAGGAAAGGAGGAAGGGAGGAAGGAAAGAGGGAGAAAGGAAAGUGGAAGGAAGGGAGAAGGAAGAAAGGAAGGGAGGAAGGAAGCUUAGUAUGCAAACUGUGGAAGCUUCCAGAGUUGAGAUUUGCAGAUGAACAAUCUUUGUAUUGUAUUGAGCACUUGUCCCUUUCCAACGAGGGACAAAUAUUUUAAGUGCUCUCUCCUAACACCUUAAUGUAGGUUACACCAGGGUAAUGGAUAUUUAGGGAAGUUCUCGACAAUUCACAAAGGUUAUUAGUCUUGGAAGCAGAGAGAAGGGCAUUUAUACCCUCUCAUGUGAAGAAAUUAAUGGCGCCUUUCUGUUCUGAUUGUAGUUUAUUAAAAUUUUAAACCAUCA